rnacentral:tRNA from 1 species
GCACCCAUAGCUCAGCGGAUUAGAGCGUCUGUCUUCGGAACAGAAGGUCGCAGGUUCGAACCCUGCUGGGUGUACCA